GAUGAACGCUGGCGGCGUGCCUAAUACAUGCAAGUCGAGCGAACAGACGAGGAGCUUGCUCCUCUGACGUUAGCGGCGGACGGGUGAGUAACACGUGGAUAACCUACCUAUAAGACUGGGAUAACUUCGGGAAACCGGAGCUAAUACCGGAUAAUAUAUUGAACCGCAUGGUUCAAUAGUGAAAGACGGUUUUGCUGUCACUUAUAGAUGGAUCCGCGCCGCAUUAGCUAGUUGGUAAGGUAACGGCUUACCAAGGCGACGAUGCGUAGCCGACCUGAGAGGGUGAUCGGCCACACUGGAACUGAGACACGGUCCAGACUCCUACGGGAGGCAGCAGUAGGGAAUCUUCCGCAAUGGGCGAAAGCCUGACGGAGCAACGCCGCGUGAGCGAUGAAGGUCUUCGGAUCGUAAAACUCUGUUAUUAGGGAAGAACAAAUGUGUAAGUAACUAUGCACGUCUUGACGGUACCUAACCAGAAAGCCACGGCUAACUACGUG
rnacentral:rRNA from 1 species